rnacentral:lncRNA from 1 species
GCUCCCUCUCCACAUUCCCGGGGGGCCACUCACAGGUAACAUUUGUUUUCCGUUCAUAUAGUUGUUGAUGAUUAUUAUAGUGCUGUUCCACUUGAGCUAUUAACUUGAAUGACAAGGCUCUAGGCUCUAGCACGUUGGUCUUGUUACUGAACCACAAAGAUAGAUCAGUGAAUUGGUCAUCAAUCUUGUCAUUAAUUACUUAUAUCGGUUAAUAUGUUCCAUUAAGGAAAGAAUAGGCAACAUUCAGUUUUUUACAGUCAGCACAUGAUAGAAUAUAUGUUUACAUUCAAAUUUGAAUUUGCUUUUUUUAAAGAUAAAUAUUCAAGUUUGCAGUCAAUGACCAAGGAUGCUUAUAGCCGCAUGGCCGCCUUGUAUCAGCAGAUCCAACAACCCUUGGGCUUCUAGUUCUAAGAACCAGCUUCGUUUUUAUACACAGAAAGCCUGAACAGGGUUUUAAUUCUUACAUUUGCAAAGGUUUUGGUAUGAUUUAGUUCAUGUAGUUAUUUAUCUUCUGAAUUACAAGCUGGUAGGUGGUAAGUUUGCUGAAAUUAUUCUCUUUGUCCUAUGCAAUAUUUAUCAUGGUUUAAUUUAGUGUUAAAACAUAAACCUGGAGAAUUCUAGCACUAAUGAUGAAGGAAGCUUGUCUGCAAGCCACGAUCAAAACUUUUUCAGACAAGGCAUAUUACCAUAGCUAAUAGAAACUCAAACUUGACCAUUGGAUGGCUUCGACUACCUUUAAUGUAAUGUGAUGUAAUGGCGGAUGUUCAAUGAAUGAGUUAACGUGUAAUGUUGAUGAAAAGAUGAGCAUUUAAAUGGUUGGCAUCCUACGUUUUACUGCUUCUGUAAGUUCUUUUUUUGUUUUAUAAUGCAACACAAUUGAAGGAGCGGUACCAGAUGUCGAUGAUAUGUGUGCGUGUGCCAAAAGAUGCAAAUCGUUCUUUUGUAAAAUUCAAUUAUUGGAUCCAACCAUGAAGCAUUGGAAUCUUGCAACUCUCAGAAGAAUUUCCAGCUGAUCCCAGCAGAGUUCAUCGUUAUCAAACAGGCUUGUUGAAGUGCCUUUUUCCUUUAAAGAAAAGAUUUCAUGGCUAUUGUUCCUUAGUUCAUCAAAAGGAAAGCUCGUGGGAUGGAAAGAUCAUAUCAUGCCUGUCGUAUGGAUCAUAUUCAUCUUUGCUACAUAAUCUCUG